CCUCCACCCUUAAAUACCCACCUUUUACUACAUCAUUUUGUCAAAAAAUUAUUUUCUAUCUAUCUUCCUUGUGAGAAAUGUCCAUAAAUCAUAUUUCUUCAGAAACAUUUUGGUGGGCUAAAAAACAGCAAUCCUCAAUAACUCCUAAUAUGUUUGAUUUUAACCUUAACAACAGCGACAUGAGCAGCAGCAGCAACAAUAUUAUUAUUAAUGAAGAUGAUGAAGAACAAAUACGAAAAGGUGAAGAAAUUACAAGAGAGCAUUUGUUUGAGAAACCAUUAACUCCAAGUGAUGUUGGAAAGCUUAACAGGUUAGUUAUCCCUAAACAGCACGCUGAGAAGUAUUUUCCUCUCAGCGGCAAUAAUAGCAAUAACAAUAACAAUGAGGGCGGUAUUGAAAAGGGAUUAUUACUGAGUUUCGAAGACGAAUCAGGAAAAUCAUGGAGAUUUCGAUAUUCGUAUUGGAAUAGUAGCCAAAGCUAUGUGUUGACUAAAGGUUGGAGCCGUUUCGUCAAGGAAAAACGCCUUGACGCUGGUGAUAUUGUUUUGUUUGACAGACACCGAUCAGAUACUGACCGGUUAUUUAUUGGAUGGAGGCGGAGGAAUACCACCUCCGCCUCCAUCCCCAUCUCCACCACUCUAGUACUGCAUGACAGCACUGCAGCGGUGCCGCAUAUGGAUGGUAGCGGAGAUGGGUGGGCCCACGUAUACUACGGUGGGCAUCCUUAUCCAGGAGCAGCUCUUCCAUACCAAUCUGUCUGUUUUCAUGCAGGGGGAGGAGCAAUGCAGAAUCAAACAACAACAACAAGUGUGAGCAAUAAUACAAGAAGACGUGUGAGGUUGUUUGGGGUUAACUUGGAAUGCGAGGCCGAUGAGUCAUUGUUGUCAGAGCCACCCCCGACUCCAGAUGGUGGUGACUCUUCUACAUCGAGCCACCACCAGGAUCAAGGUCAGAGCCGGGAUCAGGGUCAAGACAACCAACACUAUUAUCAAUACCAAUUCCAGUAUUCAAACCCUCAUGUUGCUGUUCCAGCUGUUACCUCUUCUUAUAAUAAUAAUAACCAUCACAAUCACAAGGUUUGAAGACUUUGGGACCCUAAUUUUCAAAGGUUUAAACAGAUAAAAUUACAUCUAUAUGGUUGUAACAGGAUAUGAAUUUCUCAAGAGAUGUCAACCAGAUGAGAUAUCACCAGGGAUAAGAUCUGUAGAUUUGACAACCAGGAUUGACUAUUACAGGCAUUUGGAAUUUAUUUUUAUUUUAAAAAAAAUAUUCUUGAAAAAAUAGGAAAAAAAAAUCCAAAAAGGGAAAAAUCCCAUACUUUCUGGCAACUUUCUCCCCCCCUUAAAAAGGUAGCGUAUAUCAUAGAACUUUUAACAUCUAUUCCAAGUCCAUAGGAAAUGGAAAGAACUAUUAUGAAAAUAUUGUAGGUGAAACUUUGAAAGAGACUUCAGGGUGUUGGGUUUGUGAUGUGGCCUGUGGGCCCAUCAAAUUAUAGCUGACGUAAGUAAAAACCCAAGUUCCUAUCCUAUAUCCUCCAAAGACUUCAAAGACUUCACUUGUGAAAUUUCGCUGUUAUAUUAUUGUAUUUUGGUUGCUACUGUGGAGAUUCUGCCUGAAGAUUUUUGUUAGGGGGCUUCAUCAUAAUCAUGACACUUGACGAAAACUGAAGGAUAGUAAUAGUAAGAGGAAGAAGAAAGAUGGUUCUUUUACCAAGUGGUGGUGAUAGUGGGUGGUGGACUUGUCUUAUUGAUAAGAUGGAUGUCUGUCACAGCCCAUUAGUCAUUUAGGAGGACAAAAAAAAGUAGUUCUUUGCCAACUCUUGAAAGGCAACUAACAGUUUAACUGCUUUUCUUUCACAUGUUGAUGCUAAUCAAAUGGCAGAAUACUUUUUGUUCAACUGUAGUAGUAGCAGCAGCAGUAAUAUGUAUAUGUACAUUGUACUUUUGGUGUUUUGAUGAUUCAUAUGAAAAUCUGAUGAAAAGACUCAUCAAUCUUUACACCUCUGUGAA